GAUGAACGCUGGCGGCGUGCCUAAUACAUGCAAGUCGAGCGAACGGACGAGAAGCUUGCUUCUCUGAUGUUAGCGGCGGACGGGUGAGUAACACGUGGAUAACCUACCUAUAAGACUGGGAUAACUUCGGGAAACCGGAGCUAAUACCGGAUGAUAUUUUGAACCGCAUGGUUCAAAAGUGAAAGACGGUCUUUCUGUCACUUAUAGAUGGAUCCGCGCUGCAUUAGCUAGUUGGUAAGGUAACGGCUUACCAAGGCAACGAUGCAUAACCGACCUAAGAGGGUGAUCGGCCACACUGGAACUGAGACACGGUCCAGACGCCUACGGGAGGCAGCAGUAGGGAAUCUUCCGCAGUGGGCGAAAGCCUGACGGAGCAACGCGGCGUGAGUGGUGGAGGUCUUCGGAUCGUAAAACUCGGUUAUUAGGGAAGAACAUAUGUGUAAGUAACUGUGCACAGCUUGACGGUACCUAAUCAGAAAGCCACGGCUAACUACGUG
rnacentral:rRNA from 1 species